UAAUUCCUGGAAUAUGCGUUGAGUUUAUAUAAUUGAACCUACACUUCUUGCACGGGAUUUCGAUAGAUUGCACAAUGACCGGCCUCCACAGUCAGAGGACUUCAGCGUAGUAAUUUGAGAUAACCCACCUUAUCUUAUGAUAGGGCGUCAAUUAUUGGCUUGACGGUAUUUCGGGUUUUUU
rnacentral:sRNA from 1 species